rnacentral:lncRNA from 1 species
CUGAACUGGGACCUGCUGGUCAAACUGCAUAGCAAGAAGGAAAUGCACACACAGUAGAACCAGGGACAGAUACCAUGAGAAGAAUAUAAGGAAGCUGCUUAGGCUAUGUAGAGAUGGGGUCAGGAAAGCCAAAGCCCAGCUUGACCUGAGCUUGUCAAGGGGUGCCAAAAAGAACAAUAAAGGCUUCUACAGAUACCUCAACCAGAAAAGGAAAGUCCAAGGGGGUGUAACCCCUUCAGUGAGUGACAAAGGCAAGCUGGUAACAACAGACAAGAAAAAGUCUGAGAUACUCAACAACUUUUUUGCCUUGAUCUUCUCUGAUAACUGCUCAUCACACAGCCCUCAAAUUAAUGGUUUGGAAGGAGGGGACUGGGGAAGCAAUGCUGUGAGUGAAGAUCAGGUUUGUAAUCACUCAAGGAAGAGGAAUAUCCACGAGUCUAUGGGUCCUGAUGAGGUGCAUCCCAGUGUGCAGAGGGAAUUAGCUGAUGUAGUCACCAAGACACUCCCAGUGAUAUCUGAAGUCAUGGCAGUCAGAUGAAGUACCUGGUGACUGGAAAAAAGGCAACAUCAUACCCAUUUUUAAAAAGGAUAAAAAGGAUGAGCCAGGGAAUUAUCAACUUGUCAAUAUCACCUGCAUGCUGGGAAAGAUCAUGGAGCAGAUCCUCCUGGAAGCUAUGCUAAAGCACAUAGAAGACAGGGAGGUGGUACAGGAGAACCAGCAUGUCUUCACCAAAAGGCAAGUCCUACUUGACCAACCUAGUGGCCUUCUGUGGUUGUGUAACUGCAUCAGUGGACAAAGAAAGAACCACCGAUGUCAUCUAUUUGGACUUCAGUAAGGCCUAUGUCAUGGCAUCCCACAACAUCUUUAUCUCCAAAUUGGAAAGAUAAUGGAUUUGAUGGAUGGACUGUUCAAUAGAUGAGGAACUUGCUGCAGGAUCAAACCCAGAGAGUGGUGGUCAAUGGAUCAAUGUCUGGAUGGAGAUCUGAGCCGAGUGGUGUCCCUCAGGGGAGUUGGAGCACAUGUCUUUUCAAGGUCCCUUCCAACUCUAAAGAUUCUACGAUUCGAUGAUGUGCAAGCAAGAUCCAAAUUCUCUGAAAUCAUUGGCAUCCCUUCUGUUGACCUCAUGUGACUUUGGAUUAUACCUUGAAUUUUCAAAGGAGACAGACUUUUAAAACUGUUUGGAGGAUGAAAAGGCCAGACAAAAGUUCCUGCGUGAUGUUUAGGGCUACAUCUUAAUUUUUCCAUUAUGCUUAUCAGCAGUGUAUAUCAUCAGUAGGUAGUGACAGAGACGAAG